rnacentral:rRNA from 1 species
UACGAAGGGGGCUAGCGUUGUUCGGAAUUACUGGGCGUAAAGCGCGUGUAGGCGGGUCUUUAAGUCAGGGGUGAAAUGCCAAGGCUCAACCUUGGAACUACCUUUGAUACUGGAGAUCUUGAGUCCGGGAGAGGUGAGUGGAAUUGCGAGUGUAGAGGUGAAAUUCGUAGAUAUUCGCAAGAACACCAGUGGCGAAGGCGGCUCACUGGCCCGGAACUGACGCUGAGACGCGAAAGCGUGGGGAGCAAACAGG